GUGAGUAAUGCAUAGAUAAUGUGCCCCUUAGUUCGGGAUAGCCACUGGAAACGGUGAUUAAUACCGGAUACUCCUUCUUGUUAUAAGACAAGUCGGGAAAGUUUUUCGCUAAGGGAUCAGUCUAUGUUCCAUCAGCUUGUUGGUGAGGUAAUGGCUCACCAAGGCUAUGACGGAUAUCUGGUUUGAGAGGAUGAUCAGACACACUGGAACUGAGACACGGUCCAGACUCCUACGGGAGGCAGCAGUGAGGAAUAUUGCACAAUGGAGGAAACUCUGAUGCAGCAACGCCGCGUGGAGGAUGACGCAUUUCGGUGUGUAAACUCCUUUUAUUAGGGAAGAUAAUGACGGUACCUAAUGAAUAAGCACCGGCUAACUCCGUGCCAGCAGCCGCGGUAAUACGGAGGGUGCAAGCGUUACUCGGAAUCACUGGGCGUAAAGGGUGCGUAGGCUGGCUUUUAAGUCAGAUGUGAAAUCCAAUGGCUCAACCAUUGAACUGCAUUUGAAACUGAAAGCCUAGAGUUCAGAAGGGGCAGAUGGAAUUAGUGGUGUAGGGGUAAAAUCCGUAGAUAUCACUAGGAAUAUCAAAAGCGAAGGCGAU
rnacentral:rRNA from 1 species